rnacentral:rRNA from 1 species
UACGAAGGGGGCUAGCGUUGUUCGGAAUCACUGGGCGUAAAGCGCACGUAGGCGGUUUGUUAAGUCAGGGGUGAAAUCCUGGAGCUCAACUCCAGAACUGCCUUUGAUACUGGCGAUCUCGAGUCCGGGAGAGGUGAGUGGAACUGCGAGUGUAGAGGUGAAAUUCGUAGAUAUUCGCAAGAACACCAGUGGCGAAGGCGGACUCACUGGCCCGAUACUGACGCUGAGGUGCGAAAGCGUGGGGAGCAAACAGG